rnacentral:rRNA from 1 species
AAUCAACGCUGGCGGCGUGCCUCAGACAUGCAAGUCGAACGAUUAAAGCUCUCUUCGGAGAGUGUAUAGAGUGGCGCACGGGUGAGUAACACGUAAGUAAUCUACCUUUGAGUGGGGAAUAACAGUCCGAAAGGAUUGCUAAUACCGCAUGUGGUCCCGGGCGUUAGAGAACCGGGUCUAAAGCAGUAAUGCGCUUCAGGAGGGGCCUGCGGUCCAUCAGCUAGNGGUAGGGUAAUGGCCUACCAAGGCAACGACGGAGUAGGGGACCUGA